GAAAUACAACACCCAAGUAGCUUACAUUUACAUGUCUUCAGGCUACUCAAGUAGUGGCGAAAAAACAUGUCUUCAGGCAACCUUGAGGUUUUUGGCAGAGUAAUUACAUUUACAUUUUGUUAACCGUCUACUCAAGUAGUAAAUCGCCCUCUCUUCAUCAAUUUGGUUUUCUUGCGCGACCAUUCUAGCUAUUUGAUUCUUUUUCAACCGAUACAUACACUUUCAUUGGCCGUCCUUGGAUUGGUAAUACCAACACUGGUGGAUUUGAUAAAUAUGUCUUCAGGCUUCAAAAACCUUUUGAUGUUCUUCUUUCCAGACGAAUUCGUCUUGAUUUUUCAGCUUUAAAAGUGGCGAAAAAACUUUAGUUCGCCC
rnacentral:lncRNA from 1 species